rnacentral:rRNA from 1 species
CACGUAGGAGGCGAGCGUUGUCCGGAAUUACUGGGCGUAAAGGGCGCGUAGGCGGUCGUGACAAGUCACUUGUGAAAUCUCCGGGCUUAACUCGGAACGGUCAAGUGAUACUGUCGGACUAGAGUACAGAAGGGGCAACUGGAAUUCUCGGUGUAGCGGUGAAAUGCGUAGAUAUCGAGAGGAACACCUGCGGCGAAGGCGGGUUGCUGGGCUGAUACUGACGCUGAGGCGCGAAAGCCAGGGGAGCGAACGGG